rnacentral:rRNA from 1 species
AACAAACGCUGGCGGCGUGCCUAAUACAUGCAAGUCGAACGGGGUAGCAAUACCUAGUGGCGCACGGGUGAGUAACGCGUGGAUAAUCUGCCUUAGAGUGGGGGAUAACUAGUCGAAAGAUUAGCUAAUACCGCAUAAGACCACAAGAACUGCGGUUCAAGGGGUCAAAGGUUUUUCGCUCUAAGAUGAGUCCGCGUAAGAUUAGCUAGUUGGUGAGGUAAUGGCUCACCAAGGCGACGAUCUUUAACUGGUCUGAGAGGAUGAUCAGUCACACGGAAACUGAGACACGUUCCAGACUCCUACGGGGGGCAGCAGUAGGGAGUAUGGCACAAUGGAGGAAACUCUGAUGCAGCGACGCCGCGUGAGUGAUGAAGGCCUUCGGGUCGUAAAGCUCUGUCGCAGGGGAAUAACACAAUGAAUGUACCCUGUAAGAAAGGAUCGGCUAACUUCGUGCCAGCAGCCGCCGUAAGAC